GAAAUGCGAUAAGUAAUGUGAAUUGCAGAAUUCCGUGAAUCAUCGAAUCUUUGAACGCACAUUGCGCCCUCUGGAAUUCCGGGGGGCAUGCCUGUCCGAGCGUCAUUACGCACCCUCAAGCCCGGCUUGUGUGAUGGGCCCUGGCGUCUCGUUCGCGAGACGGGCCCGAAAGGCAGCGGCGGCGUCGACCCGAUGAGCCCGAGCGUAUGGGGACUUUUGUCACACGUUUGCGGUGCGGACCGGCGCCUGCUUGACUUUUCUGAUUAUCCAGGUUGACCUCGGAUCAGGUAGGGAUACCCGCUGAACUUAAGC
rnacentral:misc_RNA from 1 species